rnacentral:rRNA from 1 species
AGAGUUUGAUCAUGGCUCAGGAUGAACGCUAGCGGCAGGCUUAAUACAUGCAAGUCGAGGGGCAGCAUGUCCCGUAGCAAUACGGGAUGAUGGCGACCGGCAAACGGGUGCGGAACACGUACAGAACCUUCCUUCGAGCGGGGAAUAGCCCAGAGAAAUUUGGAUUAAUACCCCAUAGUAUAUUGGAGUGGCAUCACUUUGAUAUUAAAGAUUUAUCACUUGAAGAUGGCUGUGCGGCUGAUUAGGUAGUUGGCGGGGUAACGGCCCACCAAGCCUACGAUCAGUAACUGGUGUGAGAGCACGACCAGUCACACGGGCACUGAGACACGGGCCCGACUCCUACGGGAGGCAGCAGUAAGGAAUAUUGGUCAAUGGACGCAAGUCUGAACCAGCCAUGCCGCGUGGAGGAUGAAGGCCCCCUGGGUUGUAAACUUCUUUUAUCUGGGACGAAAAAGGGCCUUUCUAGGUCGACUGACGGUACCAGAGGAAUAAGCACCGGCUAACUCCGUGCCAGCAGCCGCGGUAAUUC